GACAUCUCCCAGGAUAACCAACUCAUCGGUAUGCAUCGGGUAUAAGUGCAGAGGACGGAAAGGGUAAAGGAGAACCUUCUCCCAUGGCGACCGACUUCUCUUCUUCUACUCGGAGACUAUUCAGGAGCUUGAUCUAUCUGGCGGUUCAAAGAUGCCGGAUCGCGGAGACUCUCUGCAGACUGUCGAUCUCGAUCAGAUGCUUCCGCGUGUCGAAUCCUCCAUUCAUGCGCAUCUCUAUUUCAGACACUGGGGUCGGAAGCAGCUUGGUGGAGUUCCAGGACCUGAACCGGGGAAUGUGUUCCGUUUCAUCCGACAAAUGGGAUGGAAUGCUGUCAAUAACAACUACUGGAAUAAGAGACAAAGAUAUACAUAACUACCAUCUGAAUCUUAGAGAAGCAUUAACUUCUAAAUUAAGGUUGAAUACAUUACCACCCACAUGCAAGAAUCAUGGGACAUUCAGUGGGACCGAAGUUUGCUUUUCUACUGCAGAGGAAGACAACAUUGAUGACUUCAUGGCAUGGGUGUUUCCCUUUGUUCAGAAGAUAUUUCUACUGAAGACACCUAAUCUUGCUGUGGAUCUCACAGUUGAGCAUACAGAAAACCUUGGGUUGCGAUACAAUCACCUUCAUCAAGAAACUGAUGACAUUUACCUGCCCCUUUCAUUGUCAAAUAACGAGCGGCUACUUUUAAGCCUUCAGAGCUAUGUUCUCAGGCACAGAAAUGCUUUAGAUAAAGAGUGUCAGCUUUGUUUCACAAGCAGAGAUCAUUUAAAGUUUGGAACUGGGGUUGCAAGCAACAUCCAAAAUGUCAGAGAUUCUGGACGGAUAGUGGAAGUGGCAAUAGUGAUAACAUCUGUGCAAUCACAAUGUUGUCUGUGGCGAUUGAGCUAUGCUACUUCACAGGUUAUGUACUUCCAAGAAUUCACACCCUUUUCAGUCACUCAAUCAUCGAUUGAUGCAUUGACAAGCAUAAAUUGGCAAAAUUAUGGUUUAAGAUUAAGGGAAAUUAUCAUGGAUGGAGAUGGGAAUGCAGUGCUUGAAUGGGUGGACAUGCCAUCAUUUGGCUACAUGGAUAUUGCCAUCCAUUGUUACCAUCAAAGUUCAGCUGAUCGAAAUCUCAUCAAGAAAGCAGUUAAGAUUGCCCUGGAUGACUUGAAGGCAAAAUAUGCAGGCCUUCUUCUCAGCUUUCGUUCCGUCAAGAUCCGCAAUCACAUUCCCGACCUUUCAAGAACAAUUGCCGGUUUGAUCUUGUCAUCCAAUGAUCCGGAGUUCCAUAGUGAAUGUGCUUCCCUUCUCGGACUGCAAUCCAAUGAUGCUUGCACUGAGGAGACAGUUGAUUCUUGCAUCAGGGAAAAGAUUAUUAGGAUUAUAGAAAUGAAUGAUGGAAAGAAGAAGAAGAAGAUAGAAAGGGGAAGUGCUCCCUGCCUUUUUGAAUGUGAGGGCCACCUAAAAGAACAUUGUCCAGAAGGAAAAGAUGAUGAUUCUGAGGAAGUAAAUUUCGACAUGGAGCUCAGAGCCAAAUAUUACAUAGCAAAUAAGAUCUGGAUCUCUGCCUGCUUAGUAACCUCCGUUGCUAUCGAACGUAUAACACAGAGGCAUGGCAUAUAGACUUCACGUUCUUGCAUGAAUGGAUGGCGAUCCUGCAUUCCACCAUAUCAACGAUUAAUCAUUCGUAUGUAAAGAAGCGUAGUCUGCCUGUUAGUACCAGUUGGCUCGCCAUCCAUUCCUGUUGUUUCAGGGCAACGUUGACACUCCAGCAGUGGAUUCAUGAGCGACAAAAACAUCCUUGUUCCUCCAAAGAGCUCAAAACUAUUAACCCAGAUCUUCCAGGAUUGAUUGCACUGAUGAUCCCAGGAGAGACAUGAGACACCAUCGCGACACCCAGUCGGUGUCUUAAUUAACAACGAUACAGCAAUGGGAAAACACCCAGUCGAUGAAGGAAUAACAUUUUCUUUUUUCCCCAGUAAAAUGAUUUUGCAGUCAUCAGACAGGAGGUCGGUCCAGACCGAGCACUGGAAACCGCAGCCUGGCCUGAUAUAAAUGGACCGGUUUCGUUGUGCACACUGUUAAAAAGGAUUUGCCUUUCUUUGA